GACGAACGCUGGCGGCGUGCUUAACACAUGCAAGUCGAACGGAAAGGCCCUGCUUUUGUGGGGUGCUCGAGUGGCGAACGGGUGAGUAACACGUGAGUAACCUGCCCUUGACUUUGGGAUAACUUCAGGAAACUGGGGCUAAUACCGGAUAGGAGCUCCUGCUGCAUGGUGGGGGUUGGAAAGUGUCGGCGGUUGGGGAUGGACUCGCGGCUUAUCAGCUUGUUGGUGGGGUAGUGGCUUACCAAGGCUUUGACGGGUAGCCGGCCUGAGAGGGUGACCGGCCACAUUGGGACUGAGGUAGGGGCCGUACGCCAACGGGAGGAAGCAGUGGGGAACUUUGCAAGAUGGGCGGAAGGCUGAUGGAGCAACGCCGGGUGCGGGAUGACGGCCUUCGGGGUGUAAAGCGCUUUCGCCUGUAACGAAGCGUGAGUGACGGUAAUGGGUAAGGAAGCACCGGCUAACUACGUG
rnacentral:rRNA from 1 species